UGGUAUGAAUGCAGCUUAAAUCCACAGAAGAACUGUGGCAACUUCUCCAAGAUGCAGGAACAACUGACCUGCCAAAUACCUGGAAAACUAUGUGCCGGUGUACCGGGGAGAACUGCUGCUGUUUUCAAACUGGAAAUGGCGGCCGAAGACGUUGUAACUACAGUGACCAUCACUACAUUAUACAAAUUGAUUGAGCUGUGGCUUUGUGGCUCUCCCCCUCCCGCUGCUGGAAAGCUGCACCUUUGUUCUCUUUGGUAUUUUUGAAGCCAGACUGUUGGGAGGCCCUUUCUGUACCCUCCCACCC